GACGAACCGUGCAAACGUUGUUCGGAAUCACUGGGCUUAAAGGGCGCGUAGGCGGGUUGCCAAGUCUGUGGUGAAAGCCCCCGGCUUAACCGGGGAAGUGCCGCGGAUACUGGCGAUCUCGAGGAGGGUAGGGGCAUCUGGAACGUUGGGUGGAGCGGUGAAAUGCGUUGAUAUCCAACGGAACUCCGGUGGCGAAGGCGAGGUGCUGGACCCUUUCUGACGCUGAGGCGCGAAAGCCAGGGGAGCAAACGGG
rnacentral:rRNA from 1 species